CACUUCUAAGGAAGGCAGCAGGCGCGCAAAUUACCCAAUCCUGACUCAGGGAGGUAGUGACAAGAAAUAACAAUAAACCGGCUUAUGCCGGUUUAAUUGGAAUGAGUACAAUUUAAACAUCUUAACGAGGAACAAUUGGAGGGCAAGUCUGGUGCCAGCAGCCGCGGUAAUUCCAGCUCCAAUAGCGUAUACUAAAGUUGUUGCAGUUAAAAAGCUCGUAGUUGGAUUUCUGUGGGGACGGAGCGGCCGGCCGCAACACGCGGUUCGAGCUAGCGCUUUCCCUACAUCCUGCCGCGAACCGUGCUACCAUUAAUUUGGUGGCGCCGGGGAUCGGCUCGAUUACUUUGAGAAAAAUAGAGUGUUCAAAGCAGGCCACAUGCCUUGAAUAAGUUAGCAUGGAAUAAUAACUAAGGACUUCGGUUCUAUUUUGUUGGUGUUCGGGACUGAAGUAAUGAUUGAUAGGGACAGUUGGGGCGGUCUGUAUUCUAAAGCGAGAGGUGAAAUUCUUAGACCUUCGGAAGACAAACAGCUGCGAAAGCGUUCCGCAAGGAUGUUCCCUUUGAUCAAGAACGAAAGUUGGGGGAUCGAAGACGAUCAGAUACCGUCGUAGUCUCAACUAUAAACUAUACCAGCUAGGGAUCGGCCAACGUUAUUCUAUACCGACUUGGUCGGCACCUUAUGAGAAAUCAAAGCAUCUGGGUUCCGGGGGGAGUAUGGUCGCAAGGCUGAAACUUAAAGGAAUUGACGGAAGGGCACCACCAGCCGUGGAGCCUGUGGCUUAAUUUGACUCAACACGGGAAAACUUACCAGGUCCAGACAUAGUAAGGAUUGACAGAUUGAUAGCUCUUUCUUGAUUCUGUGGGUGGUGGUGCAUGGCCGUUCUUAGUUGGUGGAGUGAUUUGUCUGGUUAAUUCCGUUAACGAACGAGACCCCAGCCUGCUAAAUAGCGCGCGUGAGCUUUGCUCGCGGCGAGCUUCUUAGAGGGACUAUGAUGCGCGAUAGCACAUGGAAGUUUGGGGCAAUAACAGGUCUGUGAUGCCCUUAGAUGUUCUGGGCCGCACACGGGCUACACUGGCGCCUGCAACGAGCAUAUCAGCUGGCCCGAGAGGGUCUUGGCUAAUCUUUUGAACCGGCGCCGUGCUUGGGAUUGACCUUUGCAAUUGUUGGUCAUGCAACGAGGAAUGCCUUGUAAACGCGAGUCAUCAGCUCGCAUUGAAUACGUCCCUGCCCUUUGUACACACCGCCCGUCGCUCCUACCGAUGAAUGUUCCGAUGAAAUUUUCGGAGAGCACCUGUGAACUUGGCUCUGCCUUGCGAACGGGAGGCUCAAAGUCACUUAAAUCUGAACAUUU
rnacentral:rRNA from 1 species